rnacentral:misc_RNA from 1 species
CCCUUCUUUUGAAAAAUAAGCCGUUUCGCAACUUGACGGGUGCUCCCAGAUGGUGUAUAGUUGAACCAUCAUUUAACAAUGAAUCAAAGUUAGAUGAUGACAAAAUUUUUUUUAGCACAUGGGUGCUACAGUACUAGGAGGAAUUAAGCAAUAUGCAAAACGGUAAAGUAAAAUGGUUCAACAACGAAAAAGGAUUCGGCUUCAUUGAAGUUGAAGGCGGAGACGAUGUAUUUGUUCACUUCACAGCUAUCGAAGGAGAUGGAUACAAAUCAUUAGAAGAAGGACAAGAAGUUUCUUUUGAAAUUGUCGAAGGUAAUCGUGGACCUCAAGCUUCUAAUGUUGUAAAACUCUAAACUCAAUACAUGAUGAUGAGAUGACAAAUAGAGGAGAGGCAUUCGCCUCUCCUAUUUGA